GAUUUGAUUAAGUAUCAAGGGAGAUAUGGGUCGUCGAAGUUGCGGGUGUCUAAGACUAGGGCAGUGAGGAUUAGUGAAUUUCGGGGCCUUGGUUUUUAGUGACCACUUGGACUUUUUAGGCGAAAUUUGUUGGGUUUUGUUUCUAAUAAAGUUAAGAAUAUUGUAUCCAAAUCUCAAGUCCAUACAACCUGUGAGCUAGGAGAUACGAAGAAAUGAGUGAGAAGGGGUGCAGAAUUUAUAGCUGCAGGGGGGAGUAACUUUGAAAGCUUGGUUCUCUUAGAGUACUUAACCUUU
rnacentral:lncRNA from 1 species